GUCCACGCCGUAAACGUUGGGCACUAGGUGUGGGGUCUUAUCGACGGAUUCCGUGCCGUAGCUAACGCAUUAAGUGCCCCGCCUGGGGAGUACGGCCGCAAGGCUAAAACUCAAAGGAAUUGACGGGGGCCCGCACAAGCGGCGGAGCAUGUUGCUUAAUUCGAGGCGACGCGAAGAACCUUACCUGGGCUUGACAUGCAGGGAAAAGCCGUAGAGAUACGGUGUCCUUCGGGCCCUGCACAGGUGGUGCAUGGUUGUCGU
rnacentral:rRNA from 1 species